UGCAACAGUUUGACCGUGGCAUUGCGGCACUAGCAGACUUAUGGGAUUGGGAUAAAUUCAUUUCUGUAUGUUUUGCUGUAAAUAUGUGAUACUAAUUCAUCAAGUACUCAGUACAUGCUCUUGAAGUUGUGGAAAAAAAAAAAGUCGACAGCAUUAAGUGACUGCCUGUAGCAAGCGAACUGAUAGUACUGUGAUUUAAAAACAAAAUACAACGAUGGCAUUCGCAGGACUCAGGAAACAGAUUAAUAAGGCCAAUCAGUAUAUGAGUGAGAAGAUUGGUGGAGCAGAAGGUACAAAAUUUACUGAAGAAUAUACAGAAAUGGAAAGGAAAACAGACCUGACAAAUGAGCUUGUUGAAGAUUUGCUAGUGAAAACAAAAGAAUAUUUACAACCCAAUCCAGCAUCUAGAGCAAAAUUAAUGGUGAGUUCCAAACUGCGGGGUGGUGCCAAGGCUCAUGCAUAUCCACAACCAGAGGGCACUUUAGGGGAAGCCAUGGUAAAGUAUGGAAAAGAAUUGGGAGAAGAAUCGGCUUUUGGUAUGAGUUUGAUAGAAUGUGGUGAAGCCCUAAAGCAAAUGGCAGAAGUGAAGUAUGCAUUAGAAGAUAAUGUGAAACAAAACUUCUUAGAGCCCUUGCAUCACCUACAAACAAAAGAUUUAAAAGAUGUCAUGCAUCACCGGAAGAAACUUCAAGGAAGAAGACUGGAUUAUGAUUGCAAGAAAAGAAGGCAGGCAAAAACUCUCGCACCUAAUGCAGCAGGGGCACAUUUCAGUGAGGAGGAAAUUAAGCUGGCAGAGGAUAAAUUUGAAGAGUCUUUUAAUCUAGCAUCAAUGGGAAUGUUCAAUCUUUUAGAAAAUGAUGUUGAACAAAUUUCUCAGUUAGCUACUUUAGCCGAAUCAUUAUACGAUUACCAUAAUCAAUGUGCUGCCAUCCUACAGAGUGCAACAGAGAGGCUAAUUGAACAGAGAAAUGAAGCUGCAAAUCGUCCAAAGGAAACAUACCAACCUAAGAAACUUCAUGAAUUAAAUAUACCCUCCUUGCAUGAUGAUAUCUCUCCACAAGUCGAAUAUGGAGGUAAUAUUAAUGGUGGUACAGUAAUCCCUACUAUCAAAGCUUCUCCUGCACGAUCUCCUGCCAGUACUCCUGUUGAACAUGCUCCUCAUAAACCUCUUUUUCUUGGGGGCCUUACUGCAGGUGGUCAAUCUGCAACUGCCUCACCUGGUCGCUCUCCUAAUCGUUCUCCUAACGCUUCGCCUCUACCCUCUCCUGUUCGUUCUCCAGCCAGGACCCCUACAUUGCAACAACCCAGCUGUCAAGCCCUGUAUGACUUUGUACCAGAAAGUGAAUCAGAAUUACCUUUUAAAGAAGGUGAAAUCAUCACAUUACUUAAUCGUGUUGACGAUAAUUGGUUUGAAGGAACCAUACAUAAUCGAACAGGCCUUUUCCCUGUGAACUAUGUUCAAGUCUUAGUGCCAUUGCCUUAAAUGGGGAAGGAAUUGCAACAUUAGAAAGAAUUCUCCAGAUGAGUCAAAAACAUGCUGCAUAGAUAGAAAAGAGUUUUCAUUGGGAACUACUAUUGAAAAAACAGAUGCCAACGAGAUGUAGUUUCUGGAGUAUGCUUAUGUUUGUAUUUUGGUUUUACAAAAAAGAAAAGAAGCCAUGCCAAAGACUUUUAGUUUUAUAUUUAGUAUUAUGUACUGCAUAAUGCUGUAAUAGCAUGUUAAAUCUGUAAACUAUUUUCCUUUAAAAAAAGUGAAGAAUGAUUACACUUAGGUAGUUCAUCUGUGUUCGAAAAGUUCAAAUAUGUAUCCUAAAUUUAUUGUGAUGUCUCUUGUUUAUUAUUAAUAUAUAUUUACCAUAGACUCUCUUUGGCCAGUAAUAUGAAACAUGUUUUUAGCAAAUAAAAAGCAUUUUAAACAUGUGCAGAUUUAAAAGUUUCGGUUCAGUCAUAUGUUUUGACCAAAAACUAGUCCUCUAAUAAAAUUAUUGCUUUUAUCUUAUUGGUGUUGUUGUGUUAUUGUAUGAGUUUAAGUGAUAUUCAAACAAAUUAUAUAUAUGAAAUUCUUUCUGAAAUUAAAAGUCUUUUUUAAGGAAAUACACUGACACCAUAUUGAUUGUUUAAUGUCAUUCAUAUGUUUUUUUGUUUGAAAAAGUUUUUUUAAAGAAAUUUGUCAAAUUUUAGGGAGGGGAAAAGUUUUUUCUUCUAGCUUCAAGAGUAUUUUUGAAAAAUCUGUAAGAUGUUGUAAAAUAUUAAUUUUAAACACUGUUCAUUAAUUUGUAAAAUUUUAGUGCUGUGCACUCAUGAACUGGGAUCUCCGAAAUUUUAUACAGCAUUCAGGUUGUAGUUUAUAUAAAUUAUUUCAUUUUAUUUAAGCUUACAAAUAAUUAUGAAAUUCUCUAAAUUUUGAAUAUGAAAUCAUUAAAAGUAAAUUUUAUUUUUCAAAUUGUAUGAAACAAAUGCAUAGUUUGUGCUUAAUGUGGCAGGUCCACUUCUUUUAAUUCAUAUAGUUUUGAAUAUUUUUGCUGACCAAAUAUGUUUUUUUAAUAAUUAAUUUAUGGUUUAUGCAUUCUGCUACCGUUUUAAUGUUUACUUGCUUAUGGCUACUUUGUAUGAUUUAAUAAGUAGUUCUUGUGGCAUCAGUACACUUUAUGUAGAAAUUUAAUGUUAGCAUCUUUGCAAAACUUAGCAAGAUCAUUUAGCAAAAAAAGGUACAUUAUUCUGUACCAUCUAUGCACAUAAAACAGUCAAAAUUCCAAUUAAAAAAAGCCAACUGUUAUGUAACUUUGCUUUUAUAUAAGCAAAAAUUUUAUUUAUUGGAACUUUUAGCUACAAUUCUUAUUUCUUUUGCCACUUUUGUUUACAUAAUAUAAUAGUCUUGCACUUAACUUCAGAAAAUUAAUACUCAUAUUUAUUGCUAUUGUGUAAAAUCGUUUGUAUAGUAUGUCCCAAGCUAUGUUUGCUGUUUUCCAAUUUCUUUCCCAUAAUAUACUUAUGUGUCUUGUACAAUUUCUUGCCCACAUCCGGUCAUAAGAAAGUUAGAAAUGCUUUAUUUGAACUUUUGUGUAAAUACUUUUCAGAUUUAUAUUAUAAGGCAUAAGAGCUAUAAAUUGAAUUUCUGAAAAUAAAUAUUACAUUUAUGUAUUGCAUUAUUGUUGCAAAAAAAUUUUUUUGGUAGUAAAUUCUUUUGAAUUUCCAUCAUUUUCUAGGAAUUUAUACGACAUAUUUAACCCAUGUGUAAAUCCAGUUAAUAGUACUUUAAAUUUUGUUUGUACAAUUAUUUAUAAAAAGCAUGUUUUGUUUUCUUUGUAAAGUUGUAGUUACCAAGAAAAGUAUUUUCCUCUUUUAUUGAUACUCUUAUUUCAAUAGAAAUUUGGUACUAUUUAUGUACACAAUAGGAUUUUCAUUUGAAAUAUGGCUUUUAUUGAUUAUUUGAUAUUAGAAAACUUGAAGAUAUAUCAAAACUUAUAAAUAUUGUGAUAUACCAUUUAUGUUUUUACUUGUAGCAAAAUUUUUAUUUAUUUAUUUUUUUAGUUAUGUAAAGUGAAAUGUUGGAAAUAAAAUCAUGUUCAUGACACAACUCCAGUUAAAUUUCAUACCCUUUUACCUGUCCUAUCUUACAACUUCUCUAGAUGUUUGCACUUAAAUAGUUUUCCAAACUCUCUUGAUGUAGCAUUGUGCUUAUCAUUGUGCUUGUUGUGAAAUGCAGUGUUAUAUGGUACAUGAUUCUAAUUCUAAAUGAAACUUUAAAAUACCAAAUGUAUCGCAGACAAAAAUGUUUAGUGGUGCUGUGGAUAAUUGUUAACAUUUGCCUUUUAGGUGUCUUAUUAACUUUCCUUAAUUUGGAAUGUUGUGCCUACAACUUAUAAAGUAAGCCUAUGUGGUUUUUAAGCUAAAAAUGAAAAUGGAAGAAUAGAUGGUAUUACAUAGAAUCUUGGCAACAAACAGUUUGCCUUUUUGGCAUUGAAAUUUUCUUCAUUUUUAAGCACAUAAUAUGUGCAGUGAUUCAGGAUAUUUUUAAUGAAUUUUGCUAGUCAGUUUCAAAGCUGUUAAAUUUCCAAAAAUUAUUUGAAUAAUGGCUUUAUUUUGUUUCUCUAUUGAAUAUGUUAUGUAUCAUAUAUAUGUUGCCAAGUAUUUUAUUAAAUUUUCAUUAUACUGAAUGAAAUGUGGCAUGAAAUUCCUUAAUGUGAUUUGAAGUCAAAACUGUUAUACAGGAAAGUUUCUGUGUUAAUCAUCUUUUGUCAUCUAUAUUUUUUCUUAACUUUUUGAAGCAUGUCUUUUACAAUUUUGAAGCAAUUUUUAAAUUUUACAGGUAUUUGAAAAGUAAUUAUUAAAUACUCAUAGAAGAAUGAUGUGUGCCAUUUUAAAUGUUUUAGAUCAUUUUAUUUGUGUGGAUAUUAUUUUUAUUCACUGUUGUAACUAGGCAAAAUAAUUUGAUUCAUUUUCUUAGAGGACUUGCAGUUCCAGAAUUUUGAUGUAUGUUAUUCAUUUUCAACGGAAUAUUGUUCAACUAUUUUCAGCAAUAAAUAUUUAAAAUAUAUCAUCACUGAUCAGAUGUUAUUACUUCCAGUUGUAAAGCAUUAUGAAUGUUUGAAUAAAAGUAAAAAAUAAAUCAUGUAUUUAUUGAAUUUGAAA